rnacentral:tRNA from 1 species
GGAUGAUGGCCGGCCGGCGCGUGUCCGCCAUCUGCGAGGCGGCGGGCAUCGCCUGCUAUGGCGGCGACAUGUUCGAGACCGGCAUCGCCCA